rnacentral:rRNA from 1 species
UGGAUGCCCUGGCAGUCA